rnacentral:ncRNA from 1 species
GUGGCGGAAUCCGAAAAGCCGGCAGAGUAGGAA